ACAAUAUUUACAGCUCGUUUGUCUUUGGCCGGCACGGCGAAAUGAGGCAUCGAGAAUCAUUUGCAUGUGGACGGUGCGCAUAGGACUAGUGCAGGAUUUUAUUUGACAAGGUGAGGUGGAAACUUCAGCGUCAUCAAAGGCAAGCUGUGUGUUUAAAGGUGUGUGUCCGAGUGUGUGUGUGUGUACCAUUCUCAUCAUGGCCGCUGGUCUCCGGUGUUCCCUGGCGUGGUUCAUCUUCUG